UCCUACGGGAGGCAGCAGUGGGGAAUAUUGGACAAUGGGCGAAAGCCUGAUCCAGCAAUGCCGCGUGAGUGAUGAAGGCCUUAGGGUUGUAAAGCUCUUUUACCAGGGAUGAUAAUGACAGUACCUGGAGAAUAAGCUCCGGCUAACUCCGUGCCAGCAGCCGCGGUAAUACGGAGGGAGCUAGCGUCGUUCGGAAUUACUGGGCGUAAAGCGCACGUAGGCGGCUUUUCAAGUCAGGGGUGAAAUCCCGGGGCUCAACCCCGGAACUGCCCUUGAAACUGGAUGGCUAGAAUACUGGAGAGGUGAGUGGAAUUCCGAGUGUAGAGGUGAAAUUCGUAGAUAUUCGGAAGAACACCAGUGGCGAAGGCGACUCACUGGACAGUUAUUGACGCUGAGGUGCGAAAGCGUGGGGAGCAAACAGGAUUAGAUACCCGAGUAGUCCAAGCCG
rnacentral:rRNA from 1 species